GGAAAAGUCGUCUGCUUUUCCUUCCGUCGAUGGUCGAUCGUUAUUUGUUGAAAUGAGCUGGAGACUCGGAUGACAUUGUGAAUUUCCUGAAAUGGACCAUUUCCCUACGUAGUUCGUACCGUACCUAUUCGCUUCAUAAUCAUCAUGUUUGCAAUCCAAAACGAACUAGAUUCGGUUUGUGUAAAUUGACUCACCUGCAGCUAUUACGACUGGAUUUCUCCACU